GAGCUAUGAGGAUUUGCCUUUAGCGAUGGUUGGGUCCUUCGCAUUACUCUGAUUCUUCGGAUGAGAUAUGGCCAUGUUUCUGAGCUC
rfam:Eutrema salsugineum unplaced genomic scaffold scaffold_8, whole genome shotgun sequence.